GGUCGUGUAGCUCAGUUGGUUAGAGCGCACGGUUCACAUCCGUGAGGUCUCUGGUUCAAAUCCAGACACGACCACCA
rnacentral:tRNA from 1 species